UGCGUAGGCGGACUAAUAAGUCAGUGGUGAAAUCUCUCGGCUCAACCGGGAAACUGCCAUUGAUACUGUUAGUCUUGAGUUCGGUUGAGGUAGGCGGAAUGUGUAAUGUAGCGGUGAAAUGCUUAGAUAUUACACAGAACACCAAUUGCGUAGGCAACUUACUAGACCGACACUGACGCUGAGGCACGAAAGCGUGGGUAGCGAACAGGAUUAGAUACCCUGGUAGUCC
rnacentral:rRNA from 1 species